CUUUGUCAAAUUCUAACAGCAACAAGACCAAUGGAACAAUAAAAAACAGGACACCAAAUCUGAAAAAUUUGAAAUUGUGCCUAGAAAACCUAAAAAUCUAAGGAGCAACUAAAACCAACAAAAUUGGUAACCAAAAUAUGGUAUGUGGGUGAAAUUGAAAUUCCUAUAUCUAUUAAGUAUAAGAAAGUCAACAAAUUGAUUUGAAUAGUAUCGUAAAUAGUAACCCAAAAAUGUAAAUUUUAAAGAACGUCAAUUUAAGCAUAUUAGAGCUAGAAAUAAAUAGAUUUGAAUUUUUUUUUAGAUUUAUUAUAAGUUGUGAAACUGAAACACUGUGAAAUUUUGUGUUUCAGUUGAAAGGAAUACCGAGAAAGAACUAGAGACGUUGAGUUAAGGCCUAGAGGCGACUCGCACAAGGUUUGUGCACAACAUAAAA
rnacentral:misc_RNA from 1 species